GCUCUAGCUACUGUUGUGAAGGAGCUUCGGCGUGAGUCUAUCCCUGAUUCUGUCACAACCACACCAUCAUAAUAAUUCCUAAACCACCCUCUUCAGGUAUGCCAAUGUGAUAUACCAAAAGUAAAGGAAACUUGGGGAUUCUACUACUCUUGUGGUUGUUGGUAUGUGAAUGUUGUUACUACUUUUUGUGUGAUUAAAAGAAAGUUGUAUGGAGGAAUUGUAAUUUGUUUUA